UGAACUUUGAUGUAAUUUUUUAGUAAUACUUUGAAAUAUCUAUUUCUAUUGGUAUUUAUAAUGUCUUCAUCUUUAUUAUUUGGUAUUUAUAAUGUCUUCAUCUUUAUUAUGUGUAAAAUUACAUGAUGUUUGAUAUAUUUUUUGCUCAACCGCUAAAUGGCUUAGCCCGCUAUUGCUCAACCGUUAAAUGGCUUAGCCCGCUAUUAGCGCGCUAUAGCUUUUCUUAGCCUUUUAGAGAGGCUGCCGCUAAUAGGCUUAGCCCGCUAUUUAAAACAUUGGUUAGGACGCAGGACAAUCCAAUGUGUAGGUUGAUCCCCUCCCAGAAUUUGUAUGCAGUCACGUAAGCUCGCGAUUUCGCUGAGCUUGCGUCUUCUAAUGAAGGGCCAUGAAGGCCAGAUUGAGAAUAAAAAAAAAAGAAAAAUAAAUUGAGACUCGGGCGUGCAGCGUGCUGGACAAGUGGGAGCCAGGAGAACUGGCCUCGUGGGCCAAGUGUGCCGGCCUGGAAUAGGAGGGGCACAAUGGUUAUUGCUUUGGGCUCAUUUGCCACUUGAAAGAACAUAUGUUUUUUUUUUCGGGGAAGUGCAAUAUCUUGUACAACGUGUUGAUCUUUAGAUAUACUAGAAUCAUACCAUAACUUUUUAUUUAUUGAAAAGCUACCAGCAGUUAGGGGCGAAGCCACUGUUUUAAUAUAGGGGGCCGACCCACCAAGUCACCAUCAUGACCUCAUGAGCCCUGGGGCGC
rnacentral:lncRNA from 1 species